UCGGGUUGUAAACCGCUUUUAGUCGGGAAGAAAGGCGUCCACUAACACUGGGCGUUCUUGACGGUACCGGCGGAAUAAGCACCGGCUAACUACGUGCCAGCAGCCGCGGUAAUACGUAGGGUGCGAGCGUUAAUCGGAAUUACUGGGCGUAAAGCGUGCGCAGGCGGUUCGUUAAGUUUGCGGUGAAAGCCCCGGGCUCAACCUGGGAAUGGCCGUGGAAACUGGCGGGCUGGAGUGCGGCAGAGGGGGGUGGAAUUCCGCGUGUAGCAGUGAAAUGCGUAGAGAUGCGGAGGAACACCGAUGGCGAAGGCAGCCCCCUGGGCCGACACUGACGCUCAGGCACGAAAGCGUGGGGGAGCAAACAGGAUUAGAUACCCUGGUAGUCCACGCCCUAAACGAUGCUCACUAGGUGUUGGGGAAGCGAUUCCUUGGUACCGUAGCUAACGCGUGAAGUGAGCCGCCUGGGGAGUACGGCCGCAAGGUU
rnacentral:rRNA from 1 species